rnacentral:rRNA from 1 species
AUUGAACGCUGGCGGCAUGCUUUACACAUGCAAGUCGAACGGCAGCACGGACUUCGGUCUGGUGGCGAGUGGCGAACGGGUGAGUAAUACAUCGGAACGUGCCCAGUUGUGGGGGAUAACUACUCGAAAGAGUAGCUAAUACCGCAUGAGAACUGAGGUUGAAAGCAGGGGAUCGUAAGACCUUGCGCAACUGUAGCGGCCGAUGGCAGAUUAGGUAGUUGGUGGGAUAAAAGCUUACCAAGCCGACGAUCUGUAGCUGGUCUGAGAGGACGACCAGCCACACUGGGACUGAGACACGGCCCAGACUCCUACGGGAGGCAGCAGUGGGGGAUUUUGGACAAUGGGCGAAAGCCUGAUCCAGCAAUGCCGUGUGCAGGAUGAAGGCCCUCGGGUUGUAAACUGCUUUUGUACGGAACGAAAAGCUUCGGGUUAAUACCCUGGAGUCAUGACGGUACCGUAAGAAUAAGCACCGGCUAACUACGUGCCAGCCGCCGCGGUAA